GACGAACGCUGGCGGCGUGCUUAACACAUGCAAGUCGAACGGAAAGGCCCUGCUUUUGUGGGGUGCUCGAGUGGCGAACGGGUGAGUAACACGUGAGUAACCUGCCCUUGACUUUGGGAUAACUUCAGGAAACUGGGGCUAAUACCGGAUAGGAGCUCCUGCUGCAUGGUGGGGGUUGGAAAGUUUCGGCGGUUGGGGAUGGACUCGCGGCUUAUCAGCUUGUUGGUGGGGUAGUGGCUUACCAAGGGUUUGACGGGUAGCCGGCCUGAGAGGGUGCCCAGCCACAUGGGGACUGAGAUACGGCCCAGACUCCAACGGGAGGCAGCAGUGGGGAAUAUUGCACAGUGGGCGGAAGCCUGAUGCAGCAACGCCGCGUGCGGGAUGACGGCCUUCGGGUUGUAAACCGCUUUCGCCGGUGACGAAGCGUGAGUGACGGUAAUGGGUAAAGAAGCACCGGCUAACUACGUG
rnacentral:rRNA from 1 species